rnacentral:lncRNA from 1 species
GAUAUCAGCCAGAUCAAGACCCGUCUGAGCAGAAUAGAGGACGUCGUCCGUCGUUCACCUUUGUCAGUGCUGGAAUGCUAGAUUCAGAUCACGCCUAUACAGUGGGUGAAGAGAGUGACAGCGACCGCGAGCUGGAGUCGUGGAUAAAAUUGUGCGUACCAGGGACCUGGAAGGCCUAAAAAGAUCAUCACGGUCGCUCUACUUGAAGAGUAAUAUUUUUCUUGUUUU